CAGUAGCCGCGGUAAUACGAAGGGGGCUAGCGUUGCUCGGAAUGACUGGGCGUAAAGGGCGCGUAGGCGGAUGGCACAGUCAGAUGUGAAAUUCCCGGGCUUAACCUGGGGGCUGCAUUUGAUACGUGUUGUCUAGAGUGAGGAAGAGGGUCGUGGAAUUCCCAGUGUAGAGGUGAAAUUCGUAGAUAUUGGGAAGAACACCGGUGGCGAAGGCGGCGACCUGGUCCUUUACUGACGCUGAGGCGCGAAAGCGUGAGGAGCAAACAGGAUUAGAGACCCCCGUAGUCCCUGUCUCUUAUAC
rnacentral:rRNA from 1 species